UACGUAGGCAGCGAGCGUUGUUCGGAGUUACUGGGCGUAAAGGGUGUGUAGGCGGUUCUUUAAGUUUGGUGUGAAAUCUCCCGGCUCAACCGGGAGGGUGCGUCGAAUACUGAGGGACUAGAGUACGGGAGAGGAAAGUGGAAUUCCUGGUGUAGCGGUGAAAUGCGUAGAUAUCGAGAGGAACACCAGUGGCAAAGGCGAGUCUCUGGACAUUUCCUGACGCUGAGGCACGAAAGCCAGGGGGAGCAAACGGG
rnacentral:rRNA from 1 species